rnacentral:ncRNA from 1 species
GGCGCCCCCAGUUCGGAUAGGAGGCUGCAACUUGCCUCCUUGAAGCCGGAAUCGCUAGUAAUCGCUGAUCAGAACGCAGCGGUGAAUACGUUCUCGAAUCUUGCACUCACAAUGAAAGCGCCUGGCAGGUUAAUUUUCUAAUUGGUUAAAAUCCAAU